ACUGAGCCACGCUGGCGGUGACCAGACACCGACUCCAAUCUCGCACUUCAUAAGCGUAACCAAUCUUCUUCUUUCCUUCCCCUCUCUCUCCGUCUCUCAAUCUUCUUCUUCUCCUGGUUUCCUAACCCUCUCUUUCCCACCACCUUCUCUCUCUAUCCUUCUUAGACGACGUCCGUUGGCGGCGAUCUCCAUAAUCGUUUGACGUCGGUUCUUGAUGCGUUACCUGUCCCCUUGGGUGGCUUGAUGCGGGUCCUUCAUUAAACCAAAAGAAAUUAUACCAAACGAUCAUCCCAAGAGGGCAGGCAUUGUAUCGGUUCUUGACAUCAAGAUACCCAAGAUGACAGUCAUCGCAUCAAGAAACGAUAACAAGACACCCAAAAGGACAGGCAUCGCAUGAGUAAUCUCCAUCAGAAUUAGAUCGAAAGGUUUCUUCGGAUAUCUUCCGUCUUUGUUUCUUGAAUUCGUCGUACGUGUUUGGGUUCCGUAGAUUAAGGAUUUUUUUGUGCGUUUCAAGUUUGGGUUUCUUUGAUUUCUCGUCGUUCUCGGGGUUCUUUGGAUUAAGGUUUCUUUUGUACCUCCCGUCUCCGUUUCUUUGGAUUCGUCAUUAAGAUUGGGGUUCCAGAGAUUAUGCCGUCUCUGGUUUUUGGAUGAAGACCGGGGCAGGACGAAACACGCCAAAGAUCCUCGUGCCAAAGCGGCCGCUGUAUUCUUUAAAGAGCAAGAACGGCCCACAGCCAUGAGGAAGUUGCACAAGAAUGACCUCGGAGGAGCAACUUUUGGCUGCAAGGGCAUGACGGUAGAAUGGUGCCUUGCCUUCCAAUGCAAUUGUGUGGUGAGUGACUGACCCAUAGCAAUUUUCAUUUUAGUUGCUUCUUUCUCUAGUAUUAGACGUCAAAAUUGGCUUUAGGGCUAUAUAAUUUGUCCAUGCUUCUAAUGACAUAUAUGGUUUCUUGUUGAUUCUGUUUAACUUCUCCACAUCUUUACCCAUCUGCUUAAUGGUAAAACCGAGUGAACGUUACUUGGUGAUCUAGUAAUGAAUGUGGACCCUAUAAACUUGCGUGGCAGAGUUGCCUUCUAAUUUCUCAAUCAUGAGGAACUUCAAACUAUAUGAAUGAUUCGUUCACCUCCUUUCUUUAUGAAUGGUUAUGGCUAAAACCUUAUUUGCCUUAGCAUGAUUCACUACUGCACAGGUAUACAUGCUGCAUAUGCUAAAACAUCUUUUACUGUUGCAAUUUUUUUAUUGACUCGAUACCAAAUAAUUUGUAAACUCACUUGCAUAACAUCUUGCUGUUAAAGAUGGUAAUAUACUUUGGUGUUUAAGCAUUAUAGCAAGAAUGAAAUUGAAAAAAAAAAA